CUCACCUCUUGGCGUCAGGGGCCACCUCGCCCCGCACUCGGAGGCACUCCCCGGGUUUGAGAUUCAGGUUGUUGGCGACCAGACCCUGCGCAGACAAGACCCCGCCCAGUCGGUUCAGCUCCGGGGGCGCGGGAUUGGGUUCAGAGUGGCCUUGGAGGCAAGGUGCUAUGCCAUCUCCUCAUUUAACAGAGGGAGAGAACCAGGCUGGGAUGGGCAGUUGAUAGUAGGGCUCCUGGCACCUGGUCCAACGGAAGGUAAAUGAAGGUAGGUGGGUCCCCUCUGAAGAGGCCAUGGCCGCCACUGGGGGCUCCCCGUCAUCCUCUUCAAGGCCCUGUGGGAGACCCCCAGGAGCAUGGCCAGGCCCUUCAAAGGAGUGGGGAGCACAAACAAGGUCCGGAAUCUGCAGCCCAGGAAGCUUGGGGUGGGUGGAGCUGCCCUCCCACUUAGCAUGCCACCCGUGGUGCCCAAGGCUGGUGGCAGGAGUUAGUGGGUAUGAGUGGUUCCUUCUGCCAGAAACUUGAACCCUUUCCCUGGGGGCCUGGGGAAGAUUCACUCCUUCUCUCUCCCUUACCAUCCCCCACCUCCCACCUCGAGGGAGUGGGUGGUUUGAAAUUCAGCCCCACUUUUUUUCAGCGGGGCCAGAACCAUCCUUCAUCCCCUCAGCCCAAGCAGGCUCCCUCCCCAGCAGCCUGUCUCUGCUCCUGGCUCUGACUUUUCAGAGCUCUUUGGAGCAGAGGCCUGACUCUGUCCUGGCGUGGUGACUGGAGACAGCUGCAGGGGGGAGGGGACAGGAGGCUCUUGGAGGUGGAGGAGGGGAAGAGGACAGUGCCUGGACGUCACCAAUGUGCCAUCUUACCCCCCCCCCAGCUGGCCACACCCUUCCACUCUCACUUCUCAGAGAGCUACAGAGCUGCAGAAUGUAAGACCUAGGCAGAAAUAACUGUGCUGUCAGGCCCCAGAGAAAUCCAGAAAAUUCUUAAGCUCCAGAGGGCCUUUGGGGACCAUAGCACCCACCUCCAUUUUACAGACAUGGCCACUGAGGCCCAGAAAAGAGAAGGUACUUGCUUAAGAUCACACAGAUACAACUAGACCCGACCUUCUGAUCUGCCCACUGCUCCCAUCUCAUUCCCUGGGCUUUGGGGUGGGGCACCCACACUCACACAGGCCAUGGCUGAGGGUAGAAGGUGAUCCUGGGACCGCUGCACCAGCUGUCUGAAGACUCCACCGAGAGGAGAGAUGGGUCCCGGGCCGCUCCCACCUUUUUAACUGGACCAGACCCUGGUGAGUCCCGCCCCCUGGAAGCGUGGCCAAUUGGAGGUCAGGACAUGGCUGUGGGCCACCAGAGGCGGGGUCAGUGGAAUUUUGAAGCCAGUUCUGGAGCAGAGAGGACCAAUCAGAGUGACACCCCCUCAACCCCUUUUUAGCCACACCCCCAGGGUCCAAGCUCCAUUCCCUAGUCUCCUCCUCCAUCCCACCCCAUCCCCCCAGAAUUAUGCUGUGGCAGGGAUUGCAGGAAGCCAAUGGAAAAUAGUUUGAGGAUGAGCUAGGCCCAAGAGUUGGCGGGAAGGGGGCCUGGGGCCAGCAGGCUGAGCUUGGGGGUACCCAGAGAAGAUGGCUGAGGGGAUGCAGGUCCUUCAGUGACUGGAGCUUGGGUAGGUGAUGCUGCAUGCUUCCUGGCAGGGGCCAGGGUGUGGCCGGCUCUGUGGGCCUCUGCAGGUGGGAGGAUCCAUUAACCACGAGGCCUGGCCCCACCCGGGCCUCCCCCGGAAGCAGAGAUGGCGGCUGCUGCCUGUGUUCCUUACUAGGGCUAAAGAAAGGUUGGGCUGGGUGCCAGGCCUGAGGCCACCAGCCCUGGCUCGGGCCUCAGGCUUCAGCCCUCGUGAGGGGCCAGCUGGCGCUCCUCAGACAGCCCAGGCUGUCUGAGAGUGUCAGCCCGAGAGGGCCCAAGGGGGACCAGAUUGUGAGGGGCUGGGGUCCCCACUCUGUGCACCCCCACGCACAUCUCCCCCACCAAGGCCAGGCACAGUCCUUCCUUUUGCCAUCCAUACAGCAGAUGUUUUACUGAGCAACCCCCUGAAGCCUUGGCCCCGGGGGUGGCCUCUGAGGAUUCAAGAUGAACCCCUCCCAGUCCCUGCCAUGGAGCCGCUCUCCAGGCAGAAUCCAACCGUGAAUGUGAUUAAGAAGCAGCAUGGUUUAGGGGGCCGUGAGUUUAUGUCAACGGUGCUGGGAUGAUUUGGGGCAAAGGAAGAUUGGAAUAGUUGCCCAACUUGAAGAAUGUACUCAGUGUCACUGAAUUGCCCAUUGGAAAUUGUUGAGAUGGUGUAUGUUUUCUUAUGUAUAGUUUCACCACAAUAAAAAAAAAAAAAUGAAGAGUAUGAUGAGAGCUAAAGGGAAGUCAGGCCCGAGUGCCGUGGGGGCUGGAGACUGUCCAGAUGCCAAGAAGGUGGGUCUUGAAGGAUGGAUGAAGGAGGUGGCAUUCUAGCAUGGGCAAAGGCUCAGAGGUGAGGAAGCACAGACCUGGGGAACGUGAGCGUCUAGGCACGGCUGGAGUUUAGGGGAUGUAGGGGGAGACGGGGGGUGAGGCUGGGAAGCCAACAGGAGCUGGAUCAUGAAGGGCCUCGCGGGCCAGGUAAAGAGCUUGGACAUUGUAUUUUCUGAGGGUGCUGGGGAGCCACAGUAGGUUAUGUUGCUGUUGUUGUUAGGGGCCGUCAAGUUGGUUCCAACUCACAGCGGCCCUAUGCACAACAGAACGAAACACUGCCCGGUCCUGGGCCAUCCUUACAAUCGUUGUUAUGCUUGAGCUCAUUGUUGCAGCCACUGAGUCAAUCCACCUCGUUGAGGGUCUUUGUCUUUUCUGCUGACCCUGUUCUCUGCCGAGCGUGAUGUCCUUCUCCAAGGACUCAUCCCUCCUGGCAACAUGUCCAAAGCAUGUAAGACGCAGUCUCACCAUCCUUGCCUCUAAGGGGCGUUCUGGUUGUACUUCUUCUAAGACAAAUUUAUUCGUUCUUCUGGCAGUCCAUGGUAUAUUCAAUAUUCUUCGCCAACACCACAAUUCAAAGGCAUCAAUUCUUCUUCAGUCUUCCUUAUUCAUUGUCCAGCUUUCACAUGCAUAUGAUGCAAUUGAAAAUACCACAGCUUGGGUCAGGUGCACCUUAGUCUUCAAGGUGACAUCUUUGCUCUUCAACACUUUGAAGAGGUCCUUUGCAGCAGAUUUGCCCAAUGCAAUGCAUCUUUUGGUUUCUUGACUGCUGCUUCCGUGGGUGUUGAUUGUGGAUCCAAGUAAAAUGAAGUCCUUGACAACUUCAGUUUUUCUCUGUUUGUCAUGAUGUUGCUCAUUGGUCCAGUUGUGAAGAUUUUUGUUUUCUUUAUGUUGAGGUGUAAUCCACACUGAAGGCUGUGGCCUUUGAUCUUCAUCAGUAAGUGCUUCAAGUCCUCUUCACUUUCAGCAAGCAAGGUUGUGUCAUCUGCAUAACACAGGUUGUUAAUGAAUCUUCCUCCAAUCCUGAUGCCCAGCUCUUCUUCGUAUAGGGUAGGUUAUAGGGAGGGGAAUAUUGAGACCAGAUUUGGGCUGCAGGGAAAAUUACUAUCAAUAGAGUGGAGGGUGGGCUGGAGGGGGGCUCACCUCACACCCAGGAACCAGGUGGAGGGAGGGAUGUGGGGAGCACUAGUCAAGGGGAGUGUUGCUGGAGGGGUGUUGAGGACCUCCUUCUCCAUACUCCCCUUUCCAAAGCUGCCAGCACCAAAGAGGGAGGAAGAUUCAGACCUAGCGGUGAUUCACAUUUGGCUGCGGGGCCAGCAAACCCACCCUGCCCUGCCCUGUCCUGCCCUGCCGCCCAGCCCCGCCUCCUCUGCCUCCACCUGGUGGGGCACCUUCCUCCAGAUGACUGAAGUCCGCCCUGGUGCAAGAUGAGAGGGGCCUGGUGGGGCCAAAGCUGGCCCUGAAAGGGGGCUGGGCUGCACCCCUGUGGGCCUGUACCCUCCCAUCUAGACCAAGCUGGCUGCCUUACUAACCAACCGCAGCAGCUUCGCUUUUUCCUCCGGGUCCUCUCCAAAACCUCAGUCUAGGGAGGGCUCAGUAGGGCUCAACAGGGGGCACUCCACUGCCUUUCUGCUGUGUUCCUCUGCAAGCGCUUCCCCUAUGGAGUCCUGGGGCAUUUCAGGCAGGGACCUGGAGCAAGGACACCUGGUGCUUCCCUACAGUCUGCUCGUUGGGCUCCCACGGGCUCUGGAGCUGCUGCUACGUUUUUCACCACAAUCUGGAAACCAGGCCCAGCAUCAGAGGUGCCAAGAGAUGUUUGCCGUUUCACAAAGGUAUUGCUUCAGUCUUCUCCUGGGCCUGGCCUGGCCGAGAGGCAUGGUGGAAAGUUUGCUUCUUAAAGGCCCCCACUUGGGAGUCUGGAGACUCUGGUUCUGCUCCUAGCUCUGCCACACCUCCCCCGCACCAUGGCAUCCUGGCAAGUCGCUUCUUCCUGCUUGCCUCAGCCUUCCCAUCUGUAAAUUGGGGAGGUUAAACCGUUUUUCUCCCACACAAGGAUAGUGCAGAGAGGAACUCAGGUCUGCUGUACUAAAUCUAUGAUUACUUUUUCAUGGAACCCCAGAAGGUUUUAACCUCCCCCUUGUCCUUUUUUCCAGGCUGAGUCAACUUCCUGGGGUCUUUGUUGCAUCUCUGGGUGGUCUCCCCCUUACCCCUACUUUAUCUUCAACAAGUCCCCUCCUGCCUAGGCCGGGGAGGUGUCUCUCCAGAUUUCAGUGUCCCCUGUAAGAAGUAUUAUGGUUUUCCUGGGUUUUGGGAGGGACAAACUGCAUCUCAUCCGCCCCCCCACGCCCUGCCCAAGCCCAUCCAUCCUCAGGGCUCCUGGUGAUAGCACCCACUUAUCUGUCCAGGGCCUGUGCCUGGCGCCUUGCUUGCACACAUGGUUUCACUUUGUCCUCUCUGAUCCCCUAUUUUGUGUCUGCCAACUGGCUGGGGCCCAGAAAUGAGGCUGCAGUUAGAAUCAGGAGAGCAGCAAGUCCUGAUUUUGUGGCUGCCUGCCUGUGACUGCAGCCGGGUUCCUUGACCUCUCUGACCUGUCUCCAGUCUGGAAGGUGGGGGGUGGUACCCAUUCACCAGCUGGUUGGAAGGUGAUGUACCUGAGAGAUGUGUCCGUUAGUUCUCCUCCUGCUCGCCCGAGGCCAAGGCCCUCUCCCCCUGGGAUUCUCCUCCCCCGUGGCAGCCCUGCAGCCCAGGCCUCCAGUUCUCUGGAAUCCUUUUUCCCGUGCAGGAUCUUGGCUGCUGCCCUGAGAAAUGAGCUCAGCUCUUCCAGAUGGCGCAGUCCUUCCCAGCCUGCAGGCUCCUGCCCAGCCCCAAGCAGGCUGCACCUCCUCCGGUUGGCAGUAGACAGGGCGGGGCUGGUGGGCCCAUAGAGCACCAUCCACACCCCCCUGCCAACCCUGCUGCCCAGCCGAGGAUGAUGCUGGUGGUCAAAGCCAGCCAGAAUCCCAGAAGUCAGAGCAGGGAAGGACCUUGAAGGUACUGCACUUGACCUACUCACCCGCUUGACGAUGCAGGAAAUACCCAAAGAGGGUGGCCACUUGGCCAGGGUCACACAGGAGUUAGAGCCAAAGCCCUGUUAUCUGCUGAGUCAAGGAAAGAAGAACACUGUGGUCCCCAGCUGGUACCUGGACCUCAAAAACUAUCUUUUUUUCAGAAUAUUGAGAAAGGUGGAACAAUUUGAAGAAUGUAACCGAUGUCACUGAACUGUACAUGUGGAAAGCGUUGAACUGAUGUAUAUUUUGCUGUGUAUAUCUUCACCACAAAUUGAAAAAACAAAAAUCCAACCAUCUUUUCUUCCUGCUCUGUGAAGGGCAAGAGGGCCUAGUGGUGGCAACGGAUGACACCACUCCCCCUUUGCGCUGUCUUAGUCAUCUAGUACUGCUGUAACAAAUACCACGUGUGGAUGGCUUUAACAAACAGAUGUUUAUUUUCUCACAGUUAGGAAGGCUAGGAGUCUGAAUUCAAGGUUCUGGCUCUUGGCAAAGACUUUCUCUAUCUGUCAGCUCUGGAGGAAGGUCCUUGUCUCUUCAGCUUCCGCUUCCUGGCUUGGCAUCUCCAUGUGGCCUGGCAUUGGUCUCACCCCAUCUUUGCUUCUUUCAAUUGCUUGCUUAAUCUCUUUUACAUCUCAAAAGCUUGGACUUCUUCCUUCAAUACCAUCCAUUCUUGAUCAUAUGCUACUCUCUUAGUCAUCUAGUGCUGCUGUAACAGAAAUACCACAAGUGGAUGGCUUUAACAAAGGGAUGUUUCUUCUCUCACGGUCUAGUAGAUUAGAAGUCCGAAUUCAGGGUUCCAGCUCCAGGGGAAGGCUUUCUGUCUUUUGGCUGUGAGGGAAGGUCCUUGUCAUCAGCCUUCUCCCAUCAAGGAGGUUCUUCACAGUGCAGGGACCCCAGGUCCAAAGGGUGUGCUAUUCUCCUGGCUCUUGUUUCUUGGUGGUAUGAGGUUCCCACGUCUCUCUGCUGGCUUCUCUUUUAUAUCUCAAAAGAGAUUGGCUCAAGACACAAUCCAAUCUUGUAGAUUGAGUUCUGCCUCGUUGACAUAAGUGCCAAUAAUCCCAUCUCAUCAACAUCUUAGAGAUAGGAUUUACAACACAUAGGAAAAUCACAUCAGGUGACAAAAUGGUGGGCAAUCACACAAUAAUGGAAAUCAUGGCCUAGCCAAAUUGAUACACGUGUUUUGGGGGGACACAAUUCGAUCCAUGACAGCUACCUCCUGAAACCUGAACAUCAACCAAGUCGUUUUGGUAGAGUGACUCUGUAUUCCUUCUAUCUUCUUUUCAUGCUUCCUGCAUCGUUCAAUAUUUUGCCCAUAGAAUCCUUUAACAUUGCAACUCAAGGUUUGAAUUUUUUCUUCUGUUCUUUCAGCUUGAGAAACGCUAAGCUUGUUCUUUCCUUUUGGUUUUCUAACUCUAGGUCUUUGCACAUUUCACUAUAAUACUUUACUUUGGAAUCGACUCAACAGCAGCAGGUUUGGGUUUUUGUUUCUCGAGCUGCCCUUUGAAAUCUUCUGCUUCGCUCUUUUACUUCAUCUUUGAAGGGUUUAAAGACUUCUUCAAGGUGUUAAAAAGCAAAGAUGGACUGCCAGAAAAAUGAACAAAUCUGUCUUGGAAGAAGUACAGCCAGAAUGCCCUUUAGAAGCAAGGAUGGUGAAACUUGGUCUCACAUACUUUGAACAUGUUAUCAGGAUGGACCAGUCUCUAGAGAAGGACAUCAUGCUUGGUAAAGUAGAGGGCCAGCGAAAAAGAGGAAGACCCUCAACGAGAUGGACUGACACAGUGGGUGCUGUUGGGCUCAAGCACAGCAACAAUUGUGAGGAUGGUGCAGGAAUGGGCAGUGUUUCCUUCUAUUGUACAUAGGGUCACUGUGAGUUGGAACUGACUCGAUGGCACCUAGCAACAACAACAGAAAACUCAUUGGAAAUAACUUAAAAAUGAAGGAACACGUCUUUCAUAAAACAGGAAGACUGGAGGUAGAGUGUUUCUGUGGCAGGUUAGUUCUGUGGCUCAAAGAAAUCAUGAAAGGUCUCAGCUCUUGUGUGAUUGUUAUAAAAAUGAACCAAAAAUGGCCUCUGUGUAUUGGCCCCAGACUGUUUAUUUCUUCUUAACAGGUCCAUUAGCCCAAAACCCCACCAGUGCCCAGCUCAAAUGUAUAUAUAUCCAGUUGUAAAAAUAACCCUACGAAAUAAGCAGAUUUUUAGCCAGAGGUGGCCUCCUUGACAUACCCUGUGAAAUGGCGCCUUACAUCUGCUACCCAUAGAUAAGCUAAAACUCUGUAGGUAUAAGGACCCUAAGGUGCUGCGGCCUUCAUAGCUCUCUGACCCAGGGGCUCCCCCCUAUCUUGCUGCAGUUUCCCCCCUUCCCUUCUUUUCCUGGGAGUUUCAGGCCCUUUGCCCCCUCUGAUGGCUCUCUGUGUCUCUUGCACCUCUCCUGCUAUGGGGAACCGUCGAUGUCUGAGUCCCAGUGAAUAGCUUUGUGGCAUAAUGGAUCACUUUUGUGCAGCCUUGCUUGCAGUGGUCUUGUAACUUCCACCCACUGUGCAAACAGGGUAAUUGUGGCCCACCAAGAGGCAUUGGUCAGUUUUGCCAUCCCGCUGGACUUGAAAUGAGCCACUCCAUUGGUGGGAGAGAGGGGAUCCCACCACCACCAAGAAAGAACAGCCAGCUGAGAAGCUCCUGGAACCAGGAGACUGAGAGAGCGAGCUGUAACCCUAAAGACAGUGAGAAGCCAUGGCAGGAGAGACUGGCAGGAGACUGUGCAAUGGGCUUCCUGGCCCAGAGAGCAAGAAAGCUGAGUGCCUUGGAUGCCUCUGGGAACUUAUUGGCAGGGGCUAAAAGAGCUUGGUAACACUUGCCUCAGCAGGGCAGAGGCCUAGGGCCAGAGAGAGGUGUGCCUGCGAGCACAGCUGAAAAGAGGCUGUUCUGAUGGAAGGAUUGUACCCUGAGCCUUCCUGAACAUGAAUUGUAACCCAUUACUUCCCUAAUAAACCCCAUAAUGGUGAGUAUUGUCUGUGAAUUCUUUGUGGCCAUUGCAAUGAAUUAUCGAACUCAGCCUAGGGCUAUUGAUCUUGAUUCUCCUUCCCCCUUGUAAUGUUAGAGGAGGUCAAACACAGCCUCCCCACCAUUUUUAUAAGCUUGUUAUGCAAUGCUGCAAUCUCAUGGUCAUAUCUGUUUCCUUGAUUAGCCCAGAAUUCCCUCAAACUCACUACAGUGAUCAUGAAUUGUGGUCAUGUAGAUGGUUUUUCAGGAGCUUGUGGUGUAAUGGUUAAGCACUUGGCUGCUAACUGAAAGGUCAGCAGAUAGAACCGACCAGCUGCUCCACAGGAGAAAAGACCUGGUGAUCUGCUCCUUAAAGAUUACAGCCUAGGAAUCCCUGUGAAGCAGUUCUACUCUGUCAUAUAGGGUCACUAUGAGUUGGAAUCGACUCAACUGCACACAACAACAGAUGGACCUUGCUUUUAGGACAUGCAAGCUAAAGGAUUUGGGGUGAACUGUCUUCACAUCUGCCAACUUUCAAAUGGUUCAGCCAAAAAUGCAAAUAUAUAAAGUGCCAUCAAGCAAAUAAGCAAAAUAUUAACUGGUGAAUCUAGGUAAAGGGCAUAUGGUGUUCCUUGUACCAUUCUAGCAUAAUUUCUGAUGGUUUGACAAUUUUUUAAAUUAAAAGUUGGAGGGAAAAAAAACCCAAGUUGUUCCCAUCUUUCUGCUCUGUUACCUUAAGUACUUUGCAGGGUUACACCUCAUAAUCACAAAAUGGCUGCAACAGCCCCCAGCACCACAUCCAAAGGCCAGAAGAGUAAGUCUUUCCUCUAUGUCUGUUAAAAGUGAGGCAAAAUACAUGAUAAAUCUGGAGUAUCUUGUACUGCCAGAAAAUAAGGAAGCGCAAAACAGAGUAGAAAAACAUGAAAUCUGAAUGGUUUAGUUAAUAGUAUUUUACUAAUUCUCAGUUUUGACAAAUGUACCAUGGUAAUGUAAGAUGUUAACGUUAGUUAGGGGAGUUGGGUGAAGGGUACAUGGAACUUUCUGUACUGCCUGCAACUGUCUUGUAAAUCCAGAAUUAUUACAAAAUUGAUUUAAAAAAAAAAAAGUGAAGCAAACAUUUUCAGAAGGCUCCAGUAGAUCUCCCCUCAAGUCUCAUUGGCCAAAA